CCGUAACUAUAACGGUCCUAAGGUAGCGAAAUUCCUUGUCGGGUAAGUUCCGACCCGCACGAAAGGCGUAAUGAUUUGAGCGCUGUCUCGACAAUGCAUCCGGUGAAAUUGAAGUACCAGUGAAGAUGCUGGUUACCUGCGCCAGGACGGAAAGACCCCAUGGAGCUUUACUCCAGUCUGGUACUGGGACUCGGUAUUGCAUGUACAGGAUAGGUGGGAGGCUAGGAGAUGGUAACGCCAGUUGCCAUGGAGCCGCUGUUGGGAUACCACCCUUGCAGUAUUGGGUUUCUAACCAGCCGCCGUGACCCGGCGGUGGGACAAUGCCAGACGGGGAGUUUGACUGGGGCGGUCGCCUCCGAAAGGGUAUCGGAGGCGCUCAAAGGUUCCCUCAGAAUGGUCGGAAACCAUUCGAAGAGUGCAAAGGCAGAAGGGAGCUUGACUGCGACACCGACGGGUGGAGCAGGUACGAAAGUAGGACUUAGUGAUCCGGUGGUAUAAAGUGGGAUUGCCAUCGCUCAACGGAUAAAAGCUACCCUGGGGAUAACAGGCUUAUCACUCCCAAGAGUUCACAUCGACGGAGUGGUUUGGCACCUCGAUGUCGGCUCAUCGCAUCCUGGGGCUGUAGUAGGUCCCAAGGGUUGGGCUGUUCGCCCAUUAAAGCGGUACGCGAGCUGGGUUCAGAACGUCGUGAGACAGUUCGGUCCCUAUCUGUCGUGGGCGAAGGAUAUUUGAAAGGAGCUGUCCCUAGUACGAGAGGACCGGGAUGGACGCACCUCUGGUGCACCAGUUGUCACGCCAGUGGCACAGCUGGGCAGCUAAGUGCGGAUCGGAUAAACGCUGAAAGCAUCUAAGCGUGAAGCCGUCCUUAAGAUAAGAUAUCCCACUUUUAAGUUAAGACCCCUUGUAGACUACGAGGUUGAUAGGUCUAAGGUGUAAGUUGUGUGAGCAAUUUAGCCAGCAGAUACUAAUCGGUCGAGGGCUUAAACC
rnacentral:rRNA from 1 species